AUGGACUCAUGUUCAAGUUCCGAAGUAAUUACACAUAUAGAAAUCCAAAAAGAAAUCGAUACGAUCCACGUCAUAAUCCAUAUUGGAUUCCCAAAUUUAUUAAAGAAAAAAGGAGCAAUCGAAGAAUUAGAGAAAGAUCUACAAAAGGGAAUUAACUCUGUAAACCAGAGAUUUAAUAUUUCUAUCGAAAAAGUUAAAGAACCUUAUAGACAGCCUAACAUUCUUGCAGAAUAUAUAGCUUUCCAAUUAAAAAAAGAGUUUCAUUCCGAAAGGCAAUGA
rnacentral:rRNA from 1 species